rnacentral:lncRNA from 1 species
CAAGGUUAAAGCAAUAACGUAACAUUUCCCUAUCUCUAGAAACUCAAGGGGAAGCAGAAGGCAAAGAGCCGAACCCAGGGCAGUAGUGCGGAAGGACCCCUUUGCAUUCCACCUUGCCGGCACUUGGUUCCCGUGUCCUGGGAGGAACCUCUGGAGUCCGACCACAGGGCAGCUGCGCGGUGCGGGUGCAGGGACCCCUGACAUCAGGUCUUUGCUGGCUGAGCCCUACUUUGCCUUGACUGUGGUGGAGACACAGGCACUUGGACGUGGUCUAGGUAGCGAUGUGAAGAAAGGACAUUGCGUUUGGCCUAGAUGAGACUGCAGACCAUUGAUUUCUUUCUGUUUUCCACCUGAAAACUUUCUUAAUGCAGCAGGAGGGACUACUGGCGUAAAGGUUCGCCAUGCAGCGGAGGAAGACCAUGGAUG